rnacentral:rRNA from 1 species
UCUCAGGAUGGAUACACUUAGUGGCGGACGGGUGAGUAACGCGUGGGUACCUGCCUCACACUGGGGGAUAACAGUUAGAAAUAGCUGCUAAUACCGCAUAAGUCCGCAUGGAAAAAACUCCGGUGGUGUGAGAUGGACCCGCGUCUGAUUAGCCAGUUGGCGGGGUAACGGCCCACCAAAGCGACGAUCAGUAGCCGGCCUGAGAGGGUGAACGGCCACAUUGGGACUGAGACACGGCCCAAACUCCUACGGGAGGCAGCAGUGGGGAAUAUUGCACAAUGGGGGAAACCCUGAUGCAGCGACGCCGCGUGAGUGAAGAAGUAUUUCGGUAUGUAAAGCUCUAUCAGCAGGGAAGAAAGUGACGGUACCUGAAUAAGAAGCCCCGGCUAACUACGUGCCAGCAGCCGCGGUAAUACGUAGGGGGCAAGCGUUAUCCGGAUUUACUGGGUGUAAAGGGAGCGUAGACGGCAAGGCAAGUCUGAAGUGAAAGCCCGGUGCUU